GGUAAAUGGGAGCAAGCCCAGCUUUCGUCUUGAGAGGACUAGGAAGGCCUGCGCUAGGGCUCUGGACUACAUUUCCCUGAGACCCCGAAGGUCGACCCCACGUGCUGCGGGAUUUCAGUUGCUUUUUGGGGAUGCUGUACUUUUCCAAGAGAGGAAUCCAGGGAAACACAACUCAGAUUCUGAGGACUCUCUACUCCCAAGCCUGAUGUGAUUUCCCUAUUGGAGCAAGGCAAAGAACCAUGGAUGGUUUCGAGGGACAUUAUGGAAGGAUGGUGCCCAGGCUGAUAAACAAGUGUGAACAGAUCCAGAAGAAAUGAUGAUAGAGAGAAGACUCAGGCUGCUAUCAUGGCAAGAAUACAAUAACUAAGAAAUAAUAGAAAAGAAUUUAAGAGCUGAGAAGUCGAUAAUUUUCAUUUCUGACAUGCUGUAACAAAACAGAGAGGUGACCUGAGUCUGGGUGAGGAAGACGCUCCGGUUGAGGAAGUCAGCAGCUCCCUGGGCGCGAACAGACAUGCGGAGCAUGGAACCCAUGCCUCUGAAUGAGGGUGUGUGCGCGUGUCCGUGAGGAGGAAAGUGCAAUGAGGGGUUGACUGGUGCGUGUUUGUGCUCGUGUCUAUCUGCUCCGACGAGGGACCUUUUGGGUGACUUUUUAGUUAUAAUGUGGGAUGUGUAACACUGGGAUUUAAAACUAUCCUUCAUAUGACAGUGCUGCUGUGACCUGUGAUAUUGACUGUGUAACGGGGUAGAACUUCAUUUUUGCAGUUCUAAGUAUAAUUUUUGGACAAAGGGGUUUGUUGAAAGAAGAUUCCCGAGACGAUGUUUGUGCCAGUGAAGAAAGACUACAGCCAUUCACAGGUUGAAGAAAGUAGUUUUGCAAUGUAAGCAUGGCCAGGGCACCCCUGCUUCCAGAGCUCAUCCUGGUGUUUUAACAGAGAGGGUAUCGGUGACUGCCCGCCUAGGAAACGGUUUUAGAUUUGUUUCUUGGGAUCAGUAUCUCGAGUUCCUUGCUGCUUCUUUCCCCUCCAACUUUACAGCCAUGUGGACUCCAGCUGCAGAUAUAUGGUCAUCAAAACGGGAGUCAGAUAUUUGAGUGGCAGACUAUGAGACUUCAGAAACAAAGCCUCAGGAGGACUUGCAGCUUUUGCCCUUGCCCUCUUCCUGCCUUGAGUCCACCAAGGACUGAAAGCUAAGGACAGCUUGGAAAAAAACCAAUCAUUUGGAAAGUGAAGUCCAUUUGGCAGCAACAAGUGCCAGACUCCCAGGGACACAAUCUUGGACCAUCCAACCUCCACCAAGCUGACGACUGCUAUCACAUGAGUAUGAUCAGCAGAACCACUAAGGCAUGCCAAGCUCAAACUGCCAGCCCCCAGAAUAAUGAGCUAAUUGUUUUAAAAACACAAACUUUACAUUCCCUUCCAGGACCUUAUUGGGCAGGUGGGUGCCUGUCAUUUCAAGAGGAUGCAGACUCAGGAAUGUGGCAUUGACUUCUAGGUGAAAUACAGAUGAGUCACUUCACUCGAGGUGUGAUACAGGGACCUAUACAUAUAUUAAUUUAACUUUAGUUGGGUCUCCUUGAUUGCAAUAUCUCUUUCCCCUUUCUAAUUCAAAUUCUGCAUUACUUUCUUCACUGUGAUUCAUUAGGGAAACUUAACAGUGCUUAGCUAAUUUUCUGAUGGAUUAAGAUUCCUAGAACUGGAAUUUCUAAAGUGUUAUUUCUAAGGUGUCAUCACUCACAUCCAUCAGAAUAUUUUCUCAACUUCCUUUCUGCCUGAUGAUUAUGGGAGUGCUAUCAGUUUUUGCACAGCUAUGUCAGGCCUAAAUUCCAUUUCUUCUCCUUAUUAGUAUUAAUAAUAAGGUUUCUCUAAGGCUAAUUAUUAAUUACUUCAUUAAUUAUCUAUUUUCAAGUCAUAUGUGAUUUCCUUUUUGGGGCAAGGCUGGUGGAGAGGUCGUUUAGUAGGAUAAAUGAAAGGCAGCUGAUAAAAGGAAUCCACUGUGUUUAAAGUCUUGGUUUCUAAAUUUAGGACCAUCAAGGUAGUAUUUGAUUAAUUAUUCCGAAAUGUCUGUGAAGAAAGUUUGGGCCUUUGCAGCAGAAUUCAAACUGCUUCAAUACUGUACUCCAUGUUUCAUACACAUAUCUCUUUGUAUUGCUUUUUCUAAUUUUAAGGAACAGCAACAUUUUCUCAUUGUAAAAUGAGGAAAUUCAGAAAUUUAUAGAGUACAAAAAAGCUUAAAAUAAGCUUGGAAAUAGUUAUUUUGAAGAUUUUUUUGUCAAAUUAUUCACCUGUUUUUCUGUGAGUAAGCACCUGGAUGUAAGCAUGUAAGAUUUUUUUUUUCAGUCACAACAGUGUAUUUUGUGCAUGUGCAACUUUCCCGUUUUUAAUAAUAGUUUUGUAUAACAACACAAAUCUUAAAAUCGUGCUUAAUGUUUUUUUUAAAUAAACCUAUCCGAUCAAUAUUAGAUAAAGACAUAGAAAGGAAGAGUCCUUCCUGACUCUUACCAAUCAGUACACCUCAAAGUUAAUUAUUUCUUUGACCUUCAUCAAAAUAGUUCAGUUUUGUCUGGUUUUGAACUUCAUAUAAAUAGGGCACUUAAGUUGUUUCCAGUUUGGGGCUUUUAUCAGUAAAACCACUAUGAACUUUCUCAUACCAGUCUCUUGAUGUAUGUAUGAAUUCAGUUAUACUUUGGUUACAUACCAAAUAGAUAUUUAGCUUUAAAUAGACAUUGCAAAAUAGUUUUUGAAAGUGAUUAUUCCAUCUGCCACAUGAGAAUUCCAGUUACUCUGCAUCACUGGCAACAUUAUUCAGUCUUAAAUUUUAGUCAUUCUAGUGGGCAUGAAGUGCUACACUGUAGAUUUAAUUUGCCUUUCCUUUAUGACUAAUAUGCAGCAAACAUCAAUUCCAAGGGAUUGGAAGAAUUGCAGUUU